rnacentral:rRNA from 1 species
CCCUUAGAUGUUCUGGGCCGCACGCGCGCUACACUGAUGCAUUCAACGAGUCUAAAACCUGCUCUGAUAGGGGUGGGUAAUCUUUUGAAUGUGCAUCGUGAUUGGGAUAGAUGAUUGCAAUUUUUCAUCUUCAACGAGGAAUGCCUAGUAAACGCAAGUCAUCAGCUUGCAUUGAUUACGUCCCUGCCCUUUGUACACACCGCCCGUCGCUCCUACCGAUUGAAUGAUCCGAUGAAUAUCAUGGAUUGAGGAUGCAAGUAGGUUAGCCUAUCUUCAUCUUCGAGAAGUGAAGUAAAUCUUAUCAUUUAGAGAAAGGAGAAGUCGUAACA